AUAGCGAUAGCAAGAACAUAUUUUUUUUAAAUAGCCAGGUAAUUUGAUUUUAUUUGUUCUGAUCAAUAUGGAACUGGGCAGGCAUGACAACAUUUUCGAUAUCCUAACCGGAGGGAAGAGAUUGAAAGCUUGCCGAACCCUUCCUUUCCCUUUUGUGGGCAAAUCUCCCCCUUUGUUCACACCUACAGCACAAUGUUACUGUCGGCCAGCAUUUACUCUAAUCAGGAUCUCCCUUAACACUCAGAAUUUGUAACUGGGGUUGCAAACUGUUUUAACGGGGCAACUCAUGGAACAUUUAUUUACUGUUUUAUUAUGUUUCCUAUAUAUAUGUUGGAAGCCUCCCCGAGUGGCUGAGGCAGCCCUGUCAGAUGGGCAGGGUACAAUUUAUAAAAUUAUUAUUAUUAUAAGAUGGCUACAUCAUUCCAGUCAGAUUUCCGUUUUCCAUAGUGUUUUCCCCUAACAUAAUUUCACAAUGUAUGGUUGCAUAGAUUUUGUUUAAACAAGCAAAAGCUCUAGAGAACUCAAGAUUUAAACAAAAAUUGACACAUUGCCUAGGUCAGGCAUGCUCAAAGUCCAUUUUGGGGGCCUAAUUCAGCCCCCUGGCCUUUUUCAUCUGGCCCCUGUGGGCACCCCUGGCCUAGGUCAUCUUAUUUUUAUUGGGAUUAAAUCCAAAAAAAGCUCAACAACUUCAAUCCUUAAAAAAAGCUCAACAACUUUGGCUGGCCUUCACGCAUGUUCACUUCAUCAAACCUGGCCCUCUUUGAAAGAAGUUUGGGCACCCUUGGCCUAGGUCAGGCAUCCCCAAACUUCGGCCCUCCAGAUGUUUUGGACUACAAUUCCCAUCUUCCCCGACCACUGGUCCUGUUUGCUAGGGAUCAUGGGAGUUGUAGGCCAAAACAUCUGGAGGGCCGCAGUUUGGGGAUGCCUGGCCUAGGUCAUCUUAUUUUAUCUCUUGCUUUCUUCUUACUCUUGCAAAAAAAAACCCCACAAACCUCCACUGCAAUCUUUCCCUUUAACGGACUAAACUUUUGUUCUUUAUUUAUGACAUUGAUUGUCUGUUGCUGUACACCUCUAUUGAACCUACUGCACGGAACUGUACUAAAAGCUGGUAGUCUUUAAAUUAAUAAAAUUGUGCUCUAAUGAAUUGUAAAAAAAGAAAAGAAAAAGAUGGCUACCUCAAUGGCUUAGAUCAGAAGUAGCAUGCCGCUGAGUCCCAGUUGCUGAGGAACGACAGUGGGAGAGAGCUAUUGCCUUCAUAUCCUGCUUAUCAUUUUUGCAGAGGCUCACUGUGGGAUGCUGAAUGCUGGACUGGAGAGCAGAGCCUUUGCUACUUUGCCCAUUGCACAGGCACAGUUAGAAGAUUGAGGACAUUAUGUCUGCAAAGGUCCUAGGCAGCAUUUGGUCGUAGUGUGUCCUUGAUCGCCUUGUGCCUGCCCACCCCCUCCUGCCCACCCCCUGCCAAAAGCCCCUCUUGUUCCGGGCAUUACUUUUGUUUCCCUUCUGUGCUGACCUACAUUUCAAUUUUCUAAAAACCAGUAAAACAUGGUGUUAUGUACUGAGCUGAAUCCUAGAACAAUAGGAUUCAGAAUCAGCGGGAGCUACCCAAUCCAACUCCAGGUGGAAGUGAAUCCGCAACCUGAUUGGCCUGCUGGAGCAGCCAAUCAGGCGGCUGGCAGAAGUGAAUCUGCUACCUGAUUGGCCUGUAGGAGCAGCCAAUCAGGCUGCAGGCAGAAGUCAAUCCACAAUAUAAUUGGCCCACAGGUGUAGCCCUGAAGUAGCCAAUCACGCAAGGCCCAUUGUGUAAAUAAUGUAUAUAAGCAGAUGGUUUUGGGGAAAGAGCGAUUCGUCUUCUCUUCUCCUCCUUGAUGACUAUGAGCUGAAUAAAGAGCAUGAAAUUCACUCUCGACUCCGAGUAUAUUUCACUGGCGACGAAGGUGGGAUCCUGCUGAGCUGACCGCCACCACGCACUGCACCGCAGCACCGCCACCUGCUGCACCGCUGCAUCGCACCGUGCAUCCAGGCUUCAGCUCCAGGACCCAAGGAACCCAGAAUGGCAACCGACAGCAGCUUCUCGCCAUUCAAACCAGCAUCAGGAGACUGGGAAGGGUACGCCGCCCGUUUCAACUUCCUCCUGCAAGCGAAAGAAGUCACCAACGAUGCCAUGAAGAGGGCGACAUUCUUCAGCGUCUGUGGAGAGGAGACGUUUGAAAUCGCCCGGGCUCUCCUUGCACCUAGAGAUGUCGCUAUCGUCUCUUACAAAACAAUAAUGGAACGGCUGAAGGAGCACUUCUCACCACAGCCCUCGGUGGUAGCUUGCCGAAAUGCCUUCUACGCAAAGCGGCAAGCCCCGGGGGAAACCAUAACUGGGUUUGUGACCUCCCUCCGCCAAGCCGCCCGGUUAUGCAACUUCUCAGAAUUGGAGAACAUGCUUCGUGACCGCCUCGUCGGUGGCCUGAGGGACGAGAUGUUGCAACGACGCCUCUACGCCAAAAAAGACCUCACGUUCCAGAUUGCUCUGGAGGAAGCCCUGGCAACCGAAGCCGCCGAGAGGUCAACGCAAGAGGCACGACCGGCCCCGCCAUCCCAACCGAGGGUCUACCACGAAGACCUCACCGACGAAUCCGAAUCUGACAGGGAGGAAGUACACCGAGUACAGCGGCGCACUCAAGCAGCACACACACCACAGCAGCCUCGACGAGAAGGAGGGAACUGUGCAAGCUGCGGGGAGAACCACGAGAGGAGGACCUGUCGUUUCCGCAACGCAGAGUGCAGGCAGUGCAGAAAAUUGGGACACAUCGCCCGGGUGUGUCGGGCUCGACUCACCCGUCGACAAGCAUCAGAUGACCGACCCAGGAGCCCCAGGUCACACGGCACCAUGCACCAAGGCAACUCGACGGAGAUCACGGACUACCAGGUAUUCCAGUUGCCCCAUCCCAGCACAGAGAAAAUUUAUAUAGAGGUACAGAUAGAGGGAGCCCCAUGCCGCAUGGAGCUGGACACGGGUUCAACUCUAUCCAUAAUCUCGGCCCGAACAUUAAGGGAACUGUGCCCUAAUGGGGGUCCCAAACUAAGGCCGGCCCCAUUCACCCUCCGGGACUUCCAGAAACGUAAGGUCCCUACUAUGGGGGUGGGGACCUUCAGGGUGCAAUAUCGAGGGCGAAAGCAACAAUUGGACUUGCUGGUAGUUAAGGGCCCCUACGUUAGCUUACUGGGACUGGCAUGGUUUGGACCUCUGGGGCUAGCCGUUACCGGGGUGAACCGCACUAGCUUACAAGUGGACGUGGACGCCAUAUGCAAAGAGUUUCCAGGGGUUUUCGAUGGGGCAUUGGGACGAUAUACAGGACCCCCCAUUGCCCUACAGCUAGACCCCGCUGUACGACCCAUCAGACACAAGGCCCGCCGGGUCCCGUUCGCCCUGAAACCCCGCAUAGACGAGGAAUUGGACCGGCUCGUGGAGCAAGGAGUGCUGGAGCCGGUGCCCAACGCCCCCUGGGAAACUCCAAUUGUCACACCCGUCAAGCCUAACGGUUCGGUCCGCAUCUGUGCAGACUACAAAUGCACCAUAAACAAGGCUCUCACGGCCCAUGCAUACCCAGUGCCAGUGGUCAGCCAUGUCCUCGCCACCCUGGCUGGGUCGAAAAUCUUUGGCAAACUGGACUUGGCCCAAGCGUAUCAACAGUUGCCUGUGGACGAAGCCACAGCAGAGGCUCAGACGAUUGUGACGCACAGAGGGGCAUUCAGAGUAAAGCGGCUGCAAUUUGGCGUUAGCGUGGCACCAGGCAUAUUCCAGAAUCUAAUGGACUCUCUCCUCAAAGGGAUUCCUGGCGUCACCCCCUUCUUCGAUGAUGUACUGAUCGCCGGGCCCACACCAGAGGAAUUUGAGGACCGCCUCCGCUCCGUCCUGCACCGUUUCCAGACGGCGGGCCUCAAGGUGAAGCGGGAAAAGUGUUUACUGGGAGUGCCGCAGGUGGACUUUCUGGGAUUCAAGGUGGACGCAGAAGGGGUCCAUCCAACCGGUGACAAGGUACGGGCCAUUUGUGAGGCCCCAGCGCCCAAGAGCAAGCCCGAACUUCAGUCAUUCUUGGGACUAUUGAACUUUUACCAUGCCUUCCUUCCACAUAAGGCAGCGGUAGCGGAGCCCCUACACAGACUCCUAGAUAAAAGGGCCCCUUGGGUGUGGGGCCAGCGACAAAGGGCCGCAUUCCAGGCAGUCAAGGACUUGCUCGUCUCGAACUCGGUCUUAGCACACUUCGACGAGAGGCUGCCAGUGGUGCUGGCAUGCGACGCCUCUCCCUAUGGCAUCGGCGCUGUCCUGGGACACCAACUCCCGGAUGGAAGAGAGGUGCCGGUGGCAUACUUCUCCCAGACGCUUGCUGCAGCCGAACGAAACUACUCACAGAUUGACAAGGAGGGUCUGGCAAUUGUGAAGGGCGUAAAAAAAUUCCAUGAUUUCUUGUACGGGCGGCCCUUUACCAUAGUGACUGACCACAAGCCGUUGCUUGGCCUGUUUGCCCCUGAGAAGCAGACCCCCCAAGUGUUGUCUCCACGUGUCCUCAGGUGGUCAAUUUUCCUUGCCGGCUACCAGUAUGCACUAAUCCACCGCCCUGGGAAGGCGAUGGGCCACGCAGACGCCCUCAGCAGGCUACCACUACCAGAAACAGGCCCCGACCCAGCGCCUGCACAAGAGGUUAUGACCCUGGAGCUGCUUCCCGACCGACCCAUUCAGGCACAAGAAGUUGCGCACCAUUCCACAAAAGAUAGGGUCAUCUCCCGGGUCCUGGACUGGGUGUGGCGAGGAUGGCCCAGCAGCAGCCCCGGGCCAGAAUUCGCUGGCUACACAAACCACAAACAUGAACUGUCGGCCCACAAGGGGUGCCUGUUAUGGGGAAGCAGGGUUGUUGUUCCCCAGCCCCUCCGCAAAAGGGUCCUCACAGCCCUACACGAGACACACCCAGGGGUAGUGAGGAUGAAGGCCCUUGCCAGGAGUUAUGUGUGGUGGCCGGGGAUUGACAGAGAGAUAGAGGCCUGGGUCCAACACUGCCAGACCUGCCAAGAAUCCCGCCCGGAUCCCCCAAGGGCCCCAGUCCAGCCCUGGGAGUCCGCCCGACAUCCAUGGUCACGCUUGCACAUGGACUUCGCUGGCCCCUUCCAGGGAAAAACAUUCUUCAUAGUGGUGGAUUCCUACACCAAAUGGCUGGAGGUCGCACUGGUACCAUCCACUUCUACGGCGGCAGCCAUCAGGGUACUACGUAAGCUGUUUGCGACCCACGGGCUCCCUGACACCCUCGUCUCGGACAAUGGAACCGCAUUCACGUCAGAGGAGUUCCAGACCUUCACAGCGCAGAACGCCAUCCGCCACAUCCGCUCAGCACCAUUCCACCCUGCCACCAAUGGCCAAGCGGAGCGCAUGGUGCGGACCACCAAGGACAGCCUCCGCCGCAUGACACAAGGGGACUGGGAAUACCGCCUUGCCACAUUUCUUCUAGCACAGCACAGCACCCCAAGCACAACGACGGGCCGGAGCCCAGCUGAAUUACUAAUGGGCCGGCGCCUUGCAACUAGACUGGACCGACUUCACCCCGACAGAGCUCAGGAUGAGGUAGUGGUGGGGAAAGGCAGGAACCCCCAGACAUUUGUGGCCCAGGACCCAGUGUAUGCAAAGAAUUUUGGGGCAGGCCCAGCAUGGGUACCCGCCACAGUCACCAAGGUGACCGGUCCCGUGUCGUACGAGGUACUAACGGAAGGGGGGCAAUGUUGGCGCCGCCACUGCGACCAGCUACGGCGACGAUUCCCAGGAGGAACCCGGGAGGAGAGCGGGACAGAGGGGUCCCAAGGGGACAGCAGGGCAGUGAGGCCUGUAGAGCGAGAGGGGUGGGCAGGGGAAGCAGAAGCAGUAGGCACAGAGGGGCGCCCCGAGGCUGGAAGGACACCGGAACCAGAGCUACAACCUAGUGGUUCAGUGGCGCCAGACCAGACAGCCCCGGCACAGCCAGCAGCCUCGGAACACGAGCCAGAACCAGAACCCCUGACCAAGGAACACCCCAGGCCACAACGCACACGGAGGCGGCCAGCAGACCUUGGGGACUACGAAUGCAACUUCCCGGGCAGAACUGGAACUUAGAGGGGAGGGGUGUUAUGUACUGAGCUGAAUCCUAGAACAAUAGGAUUCAGAAUCAGCGGGAGCUACCCAAUCCAACUCCAGGUGGAAGUGAAUCCGCAACCUGAUUGGCCUGCUGGAGCAGCCAAUCAGGCGGCUGGCAGAAGUGAAUCUGCUACCUGAUUGGCCUGUAGGAGCAGCCAAUCAGGCUGCAGGCAGAAGUCAAUCCACAAUAUAAUUGGCCCACAGGUGUAGCCCUGAAGUAGCCAAUCACGCAAGGCCCAUUGUGUAAAUAAUGUAUAUAAGCAGAUGGUUUUGGGGAAAGAGCGAUUCGUCUUCUCUUCUCCUCCUUGAUGACUAUGAGCUGAAUAAAGAGCAUGAAAUUCACUCUCGACUCCGAGUAUAUUUCACAUGGACAGUAUUAUUUCGAAGGACCUAAAGUCUGCAGCAAGUUUUAAAGGACCUCACACUUUGUUUGUAUCAAAACAGAUUUUUCCACUUUGCAAUUUUAUAGCACUUUGCUUCGCAGCCUUAAACUGUGCACAUUUUUCUUUGCAGGCAGACAUAGCACCGCUGAUGGCUUCUCUUAUCGGAGUCCCUUUCCCUCUGAACUCUGUGGGGAGUCUACCUCUGGAGUACCUGAACAACACUGCUCAUUUUAAAGCAGAGAGUAUGUUUACGAAUGCUGCUCAGAUUCUUGAACAAUUU